UACGGGGGGAGCAAGCGUUGUUCGGAUUUACUGGGCGUAAAGGGCGCGUAGGCGGCCACGACAAGUCACUUGUGAAAUCUCCGGGCUUAACUCGGAACGGUCAAGUGAUACUGUCGGGCUAGAGUGCAGAAGGGGCAACUGGAAUUCUCGGUGUAGCGGUGAAAUGCGUAGAUAUCGAGAGGAACACCUGCGGCGAAGGCGGGUUGCUGGGCUGAUACUGACGCUGAGGCGCGAAAGCUAGGGGAGCGAACGGG
rnacentral:rRNA from 1 species